UACGGAGGGUGCAAGCGUUAUCCGGAUUUAUUGGGGUUAAAGGGUCCGUAGGCGGAUUAAUCAGUCAGUGGUGAAAUCUCAUAGCUCACCUAUGAAACUGCCGUUGAUACUGUCGGUCUUGAGUAAAUUUGAAGUGGCUGGAAUAAGUAGUGUAGCGGUGAAAUGCAUAGAUAUUACUUAGAACACCAAUUGCGAAGGCAGGUCACUAAGAUUUAACUGACGCUGAGGGACGAAAGCGUGGGGAGCGAACAGGAUUAGAUACCCGCG
rnacentral:rRNA from 1 species